AGUGGCGGGCGGGUGAGUAACGCGUGGGGAACCUGCCCCAUACCGGGGGAUAACAGCCGGAAACGGCUGCUAAUACCGCAUAAGCGCACAGUACCGCAUGGUACGGUGUGAAAAACUCCGGUGGUAUGGGAUGGACCCGCGUCUGAUUAGCCAGUUGGCGGGGUAACGGCCCACCAAAGCGACGAUCAGUAGCCGGCCUGAGAGGGCGACCGGCCACAUUGGGACUGAGACACGGCCCAGACUCCUACGGGAGGCAGCAGUGGGGAAUAUUGCACAAUGGAGGAAACUCUGAUGCAGCGAUGCCGCGUGAGGGAAGAAGGUUUUAGGAUUGUAAACCUCUGUCUUCAGGGACGAAAAAAGACGGUACCUGAGGAGGAAGCUCCGGCUAACUACGUGCCAGCAGCCGCGGUAAUACGUAGGGAGCGAGCGUUGUCCGGAAUUACUGGGUGUAAAGGGAGCGUAGGCGGGAUCGCAAGUCAGAUGUGAAAACUAUGGGCUUAACCCAUAAACUGCAUUUGAAACUGUGGUUCUUGAGUGAAGUAGAGGUAAGCGGAAUUCCUAGUGUAGCGGUGAAAUGCGUAGAUAUUAGGAGGAACAUCAGUGGCGAAGGCGGCUUACUGGGCUUUAACUGACGCUGAGGCUCGAAAGCGUGGGGAGCAAACAGGAUUAGAUACCCUGGUAGUCCACGCCGUAAACGAUGUUUACUAGGUGUGGGGGGACUGACCCCUUUCCGUGCCCGCAGCAAAACGCAAUAAGUAAUCCACCUGGGGAGUACGACCGCAAGGUUGAAACUCAAAGGAAUUGACGGGGGCCCGCACAAGCAGUGGAGUAUGUGGAUUUAAUUCGAAGCAACGCGAAGAACCUUACCAAGUCUUGACAUCCCUUGACGAUGCUGGAAACAGUAUUUCUCUUCGGAGCAAGGAGACAGGUGGUGCAUGGUUGUCGUCAGCUCGUGUCGUGAGAUGUUGGGUUAAGUCCCGCAACGAGCGCAACCCUUAUGGUCAGUUACUACGCAAGAGGACUCUGGCCAGACUGCCGUUGACAAAACGGAGGAAGGUGGGGAUGACGUCAAAUCAUCAUGCCCUUUAUGACUUGGGCUACACACGUACUACAAUGGCGUUAAACAAAGAGAAGCAAGACCGCGAGGUGGAGCAAAACUCAGAAACAACGUCCCAGUUCGGACUGCAGGCUGCAACUCGCCUGCACGAAGUCGGAAUUGCUAGUAAUCGUGGAUCAGCAUGCCACGGUGAAUACGUUCCCGGGCCUUGUACACACCGCCCGUCA
rnacentral:rRNA from 1 species